rnacentral:rRNA from 1 species
CCCGCUGAACUUAAGCAUAUCAAUAAGCGGAGGAAAAGAAACUAACAAGGAUUCCCCUAGUAACUGCGAGUGAAGCGGGAAAAGCUCAAAUUUAGAAAUCUGGCGGUCUCGCGGCCGGCCGAGUUGUGAUCUGGAGAAGCGUCUAUCCGCGUCGGACCGUGUACAAGUCUUCUGGAAGGGAGCGUCGUAGAGGGUGAGAAUCCCGUCUUUGACACGGACAACCGAUGCUUUUGUGAUGCGCUCUCGAAGAGUCGAGUUGUUUGGGAAUGCAGCUCAAAAUGGGUGGUAAAUUCCAUCUAAAGCUAAAUACUGGCGAGAGACCGAUAGCGAACAAGUACCGUGAGGGAAAGAUGAAAAGCACUUUGGAAAGAGAGUUAAACAGUACGUGAAAUUGUUGAAAGGGAAACGUUUGAAGUCAGUCGCGUCGGCCGAGACUCAACCUUGCGCUCGCGCUCGGUGCACUUCUCGGUUGACGGGUCAGCAUCAAUUUCGACCGCCGGACAAAGGUUGGGGGAAUGUGGCAUCCUUCGGGAUGUGUUAUAGCCCUUGAUUCACAUACGGCGAUUGGGAUUGAGGAACUCGGCGCCUCGCGCGUCCAGGAUGCUGGCAUAAUGGCUUUAAGCGACCCGUCUUGAAACACGG